rnacentral:rRNA from 1 species
GAUGAACGCUGGCGGCGUGCUUAACACGUGCAAGUCGAACGGGAAACCUUUUAAUGAAGCUUCGGCAGAUUUAGCUGGUUUCUAGUGGCGGACGGGUGAGUAACGCGUGGGUAACCUGCCUUAUACAGGGGGAUAACAGUCAGAAAUGACUGCUAAUACCGCAUAAGCGCACAGGACCGCAUGGUCCGGUGUGAAAAACUCCGGUGGUAUAAGAUGGACCCGCGUUGGAUUAGCUUGUUGGUGGGGUAACGGCUCACCAAGGCGACGAUCCAUAGCCGGCCUGAGAGGGUGAACGGCCACAUUGGGACUGAGACACGGCCCAGACUCCUACGGGAGGCAGCAGUGGGGAAUAUUGCACAAUGGGGGAAACCCUGAUGCAGCGACGCCGCGUGAAGGAAGAAGUAUCUCGGUAUGUAAACUUCUAUCAGCAGGGAAGAUAGUGACGGUACCUGACUAAGAAGCCCCGGCUAACUACGUG